rnacentral:rRNA from 1 species
AGUGAACGCUGGCGGUAGGCCUAACACAUGCAAGUCGAACGGCAGCACAGUAAGAGCUUGCUCUUACGGGUGGCGAGUGGCGGACGGGUGAGGAAUACAUCGGAAUCUACUUUUUCGUGGGGGAUAACGUAGGGAAACUUACGCUAAUACCGCAUACGACCUACGGGUGAAAGCAGGAGAUCUUCGGACCUUGCGCGAUUGAAUGAGCCGAUGUCGGAUUAGCUAGUUGGCGGUGUAAAGGCCCAACAAGGCGACGAUCCGUAGCUGGUCUGAGAGGAUGAUCAGCCACACUGGAACUGAGACACGGUGCAGACUCCUACGGGAGGCAGCAGUCGGGAAUAUUCGACAAUGGGCGCAAGCCUGAUGCAGCCAUACCGCGUGGGUGAAGAAGGCCUUCGGGUUGUAAAGCCGGUUUGUUGGGAAAGAAAAGAAGCAGGUUAAAAGCCCGCUGUUCUGACGGUACCCAAAGAAUAAGCACCGGCGAACUUCGUG